UACGGGGGGGGCAAGCGUUGUUCGGAAUUAUUGGGCGUAAAGCGCGUGUAGGCGGCUUUGCAAGUCGGGUGUGAAAGCCCUCAGCUCAAUUGAGGAAGUGCGCCCGAAACUGCAGAGCUUGAGUGCCGGAGAGGGUGGCGGAAUUCCCCAAGUAGAGGUGAAAUUCGUAGAUAUGGGAAGGAACGCCGGCGGCGAAAGCGGCUUGCUGGACCCCAUCUGACGCUGAGGCGCGAAAGCCAGGGGAGCGAACGGG
rnacentral:rRNA from 1 species